GCACUGCUGAGGAGUCCCACAACAGGAUAAAACGGCCUUCCAGUGC
rnacentral:hammerhead_ribozyme from 1 species